AAUACUAGUAUGAUUAAUUUGAGAAUUUGUUAUGAGAGAAUAUAUUUUCUGGGUAGCUCAUUAUUCCUAUUAUUUAGCAAUGGUUAAUAAAUCUUAGUUUUAUUAUUUAAUUCAAUCUCACUUACCUUUGAUGCUCUCUAUAUGUGAAACUUUGUUACCAAAAGAUAUGCAGCCAAACCAAACCACUAAAUAAGAUCACACCAACUAUUUUACUCUCCACAAUUUAUUUUCUCUUUUUUUUCAGCCACUUCCCAUGUGAAACGGCACCGUUUCACUAUAUUCCACCAAUCAUUUACCUGCAUCAAUUUCUUUUUGAUUUAAUUUCAACUUGCAUGAUUGCAAUCCGCCAUUUUGGUGGGCCCAUGAGUUUUUUUCUCCUCUGUUUCUCUCUCCACCGGAGAGAACAUUUCCUCUCACAUCUCUCUCUGACGCCGCGGCCGCCGCUCUCAAAACUCUACAUAUUACACCACGACUCGCCGCAUGCUGACCUGGAGAGGCGGUCGACAAGGUCUCGCCGCUUCCGCCGUCGACAGCCAUCGACGUUGCAUCUGCUUCCACCUACCGGACAACUUCGCCACCGUCCCGAGAUCGCAUUGGCUCAUUCCCCACUGGAUCUCCAUCUUCAAGAACAAACAAACCUCUUCGAACUGAUGUUGCCAUUGUCGAUAAUCGAGAUGGAGGUGAGGAGAAUGAAUGGGUGUCGAGACUUAUUUCGGUUGGGUUUUUAUUGUUGGUGUUGUUGUGUGGGUUUUGGGCUUCAAUUCUUCGAAUUUCUUCAGUGGAGACAUCCCUCGAACACCUCGCGUGCACUGUUUUUCCAGCUUCAUAUUCUUCUUCUCCCAUUUUCACCAGCUGCCGCAUUUUCUUCAUAUUGAUACUACUGAUCCUGUCGUUUUGUAGGUAAAGAUUUGCGCGUAUUAUUUCCAAACGGUGCCGUUGGCUACCACCGUCUUUCUCUCCUAUUCUACUGCCGUGGUUUGGCCAUUUUCACCGCAUUUUCCUUUUCGAUUAUUUUGUAAAUCCACAGUUGAACGCCUUGAAUUGUGUUUUCUUGUGAAACAGGUUUGAUUGAUUUUUAUUUUUUUAAUAUUCGAAUCUCUACUUAUGGAGAUGGUGUUUACCGGUGAUAUGUGUAGUAUGUGUUUGGGUUAUGCUAACUCGUGAGUUUUCUUCUGGAUAGGUUACUCACAUUUUUUAAUUCAUGAAAUUCGAUUUAGUUAUUCACCACUAAUCAAUUAUUUAUCUUCAAACACAUUCGAAACUAUUUCUCAUUUCAUUUUCAUCUGUAAUAACCGUUUAUUUUUCUACCGCAAAUUCAUUUUACGCCAAGUCAAUUGGGCACCACAGCUGCGCCUUGUGCGGCGCACAACCACUAGUAUAAGUAUAUAUGCCCCCAAAUCCCCUCCCUCUAUUUACUUUUAUUCUGAAACCCUUCAUGGUAUUCUUUCUCAUCCUCUUCUUUUUCUCCAAUUCUCCCAAUUUUUAUGUAUUGGUAUUGAUUCGAUCGAUUUUAUUUUACAAGCAACGCUUGCUCAACCAACCACAACUCUCGGUUGGAACGCUUCCACUGUUCUUUGUAUUAAUUUAAUUUCUUCCCAGACUCGUCCGCCAUUACAACUGUCCUUUGUUUAUAUUUGAGAGUUUUUCAUGUUUUUUCUAAUAAUUUUCCGUACUUCGUACAGUCCGUCUUCUCUUUCUUAUGAGCUUCCUUUUGCUUUAGUAUCAUCUUCUUAUUUUUUUUAUUACAUUGGUGGUGACGAAAUGAGGUGUUGUGGGUUUUGGCCUCAAAAGUAUUUUAAUGUUUCAUCCAAUAAUGUUUCUGAUUUUAUACAAAUUGUCUUUCCUUUUUUAUGAAUUUUCUUUUGGUUUUACAGUUUGUACGUGCUCAACAAUUUGCUUACGAAACCUUACCCCGUCUUCCUGUAAAAAUUCUUCAUACCCCUAGCAAACUGUAUUUGAGUUUCUUUAAAUUUAUUUGUGGAGAGACGAUUCCUCCUAUUCAUUUGUUUUUACGAUUAUUAGGUGUUUCCUUUGGGGAUUCUUCGUGUUAGCUCUUCCGUGUUCUACAACACCGUGCCUCAUUCGUGGACGCAAAAUCUCGAGAUUUAUGUCACUGUAGCCACGAAAGGCACAUUGGUGUGUAGGUGAAAGCAAUGAGGCAAUUACAACUUAGAAAAUUGAGGAUUGUGGCAAACAAGCAAAUGUGCAGCAAACCUCUGUAGCUGAAUUUCUGAUCUGCUCGUGGGGUCUCGUCUGGUAAAACAUAUUGAGGACUUGCACUUGCGCAACAAUUGUAUUAGCCGUGGUAAGAGCAGGGAGUUGAAGCUAUGGAUAGAGCGCGUUUGCUUGGAUUGCAUUUGUGGGGCCGACCAGGCACCUGACUGCCGCCAAUUUUUUGCCCCGUCUGGAGGAUGCGUAUGAGUUUCACUUUCACUAUUUGAGUGCCAAUUCUUAAAAAUCGAAUAAUUGAUGCAUGUUUAUUGGUUAUCUGUGGUCUACAGAGGUUUUAUAAUUUGUCUGUGUUUCUCUUUUCAUUAGUCAUAAGUUGUUGCUUGAGUUUAGUUUUUAUUUUUUUAGUUUAUUGGGAGUUUUAUUGAAGUUUUGGACUGAUAUACAAGUAUUCUUUGGAUGGUUAUAAUAUUAAACUUGUAUUCAAUCAAACAGAUCGACAUUGUAUACGUGGGAGACACCCUUAAUUAUGCAUCCAUGUACAUUUUUAUAUUAAUACGCAGUUUGCAGGUGA